rnacentral:rRNA from 1 species
GUAGGGUCCGAGCGUUGUCCGGAAUUAUUGGGCGUAAAGGGCUCGUAGGCGGUCCGUCACGUCGGGAGUGAAAACUCGGAGCUCAACUCCGAGCCUGCUUCCGAUACGGGCAGACUAGAGGUAGGCAGGGGAGAGCGGAACUCCUGGUGUAGCGGUGGAAUGCGCAGAUAUCAGGAAGAACACCGGUGGCGAAGGCGGCUCUCUGGGCCUUACCUGACGCUGAGGAGCGAAAGCGUGGGUAGCGAACAGGAUUAGAUACCCUGGUAGUCCACGCCGUAAACGUUGGGCGCUAGGUGUGGGGGACAUUCCACGUCCUCCGUGCCGCAGCUAACGCAUUAAGCGCCCCGCCUGGGGAGUACGGCCGCAAGGCUAAA